AUUGAACGCUGGCGGCAGGCCUAACACAUGCAAGUCGAGCGAGCGGCGGACGGGUGAGUAAUGUCUGGGGAACUGCCCGAUCGAGGGGGAUAACUACUGGAAACGGUAGCUAAUACCGCAUACCAUCGGAUUAACCCAGAUGAGAUUAGCUAGUAGUUGGGGUAACGGCUCACCAAGGCCACGAUCCGUAGCUGGUUUGCUAGGACGACCAGCCACACUGGAACUGAGACACGGCCCAGACUCCUACGGGAGGCAGCAGUGGGGAAUUUUGGACAAUGGGGGAAACCCUGAUCCAGCCAUCCCGCGUGUAUGAUGAAGGCCUUCGGGUUGUAAAGCACUUUUGGCAGAGAAGCGGUAUCUGCAGAAGAAGCACCGGCUAACUACGUGCCAGCAGCCGCGGUAAUUC
rnacentral:rRNA from 1 species